rnacentral:rRNA from 1 species
UAGAGUUUGAUCCUGGCUCAGAUUGAACGCUGGCGGCAGGCCUAACACAUGCAAGUCGAGCGGUAACACAGAGGAGCUUGCUCCUUGGGUGACGAGCGGCGGACGGGUGAGUAAUGCCUGGGGAUCUGCCCGAUAGAGGGGGAUAACUACGGGAAACUGUAGCUAAUACCGCAUAAUGUCUACGGACCAAAGUGGGGGCUCUUCGGACCUCAUGCUAUCGGAUGAACCCAGGUGGGAUUAGCUAGUUGGUGAGGUAAUGGCUCACCAAGGCGACGAUCUCUAACUGGUUUGAGAGAAUGACCAGUCACACUGGAACUGAGACACGGUCCAGACUCCUACGGGAGGCAGCAGUGGGGAAUAUUGCACAAUGGGCGCAAGCCUGAUGCAGCCAUGCCGCGUGUGUGAAGAAGGCCUUCGGGUUGUAAAGCACUUUCAGCGGGGAGGAAGGGUCACUAGUUAAUACCUAGUGGCAUUGACGUUACUCGCAGAAGAAGCACCGGCUAACUCCGUGCCAGCAGCCGCGGUAAUACGGAGGGUGCAAGCGUUAAUCGGAAUUACUGGGCGUAAAGCGCACGCAGGCGGUUUGUUAAGUCAGAUGUGAAAUCCCCGAGCUCAACUUGGGAACUGCAUUUGAAACUGGCAAGCUAGAGUCUUGUAGAGGGGGGUAGAAUUCCAGGUGUAGCGGUGAAAUGCGUAGGGAUCUGGAGGAAUACCGGUGGCGAAGGCGGCCCCCUGGACAAAGACUGACGCUCAGGUGCGAAAGCGUGGGGAGCAAACAGGAUAAGAUACCCUGGUAGUCCACGCUGUAAACGAUGU